rnacentral:rRNA from 1 species
UUAAAUUGAAGAGUUUGAUCAUGGCUCAGAUUGAACGCUGGCGGCAGGCCUAACACAUGCAAGUCGAACGGUAACAGGAAGCAGCUUGCUGCUUUGCUGACGAGUGGCGGACGGGUGAGUAAUGUCUGGGAAACUGCCUGAUGGAGGGGGAUAACUACUGGAAACGGUGGCUAAUACCG